rnacentral:sRNA from 1 species
AGCUGGAAAGACCAUUAUGGUUAGUUAGCUCCUGCCUGCUGCACCGGGAAGGCUUCAGAGGAGGAUCCUGGUGUGUCAGGUGUCUGUUCAAGGCUUCUUGGCAGCAGGGCACAGAGUCUGCUUAAGUCUUCCCUCAGUUCCCAGCAUCAUCAUCCACCACUGCUUCCUGAGCCCAAAGACACAUCAAAGCCCACGUUGCAGGCUGCUAAAGACGAUGGCCCAAUGCACCAUGAUGCAACACUUUAAACCUAUGCUUCAAAUUCACAGGAUUCACUUUGGGAAGAGUGAAAAGGUGACCACACCAGUAGAGAUGCACAUCUGAAGGUUGAAUUUAGAUCUUCACCUGGACUGGCCAUGUGGAGCAAAUACUUCUCAUCUACAUAGACCUGCAAUUCUCUCCUGCCGUUUAUGGAAUCCAGCCCACGUGUAGGGAGCUGAGCACUGCACACUGCAUGGACUUAAGCAGAUCUUUUUGACAAAUCUACAUGUGAGAGGAAUAGGGAGAGGGAGAGGAGGGAGAGGGAGGAUGGGGGGCUAUUGAAGCCAUGGCUCUUGACAUCAGUUUGGUAUGUCAUAAUAACUGGCCUGUUACCAGUUAUAGUGUUACAACUGUAGAACAGCAAAAAGCACCUUUGCACUGAGUGCCUGUACAUCUGAUGACGAGUGCAGACACAGCAUCCCUGCUUACAAGGGACCACUGUGAGGCUAAAUGCAACAAAGAUCAGCUGCCUCGGCUGCCUCCCUUGCAGGGAAGGCAGGGAGGACAACGAACACAGAAGACUGGAAUUCCUCUGCCACGUAAUACUGACUCCUCUCGUGAAAGGUCCUGGAAUUUCCCAUGCGUGCUGCAGGUGUUUCUAGGGUUUGUCAUACACUAAAGCCCUGCAGAGCUUCCACAACCUUGCAGGCUGUGGUGAUGUCUACCUGUAGGGCGUGUGGGACCUUGUUACCAGACAGGUAUAAGAAAUGGUAAAGUCGAAUGAGCUCAAACCCUGGGAAUCACAGCAUGAGCAUGGCAGGAGUGGAGCCAUUCCCUGCCAGCCUCUACCUGCUCUGGAACGUGUAACCAUGAUACCCCACUGAGGACCAUGGGCUGGUCACAUAGCAUAAACACCUAGAGCUCUCCACAAUUAUGAGGUAAAGAUAGCUGUUAAGAUGUUUUUAAAUCCAUUUUCCUUUUCAGCCCUGGCUCCUGGAAUGAGACUCUGAGACUAUUAAUAAAUAAACACCUUGGCUAUAAGCUUUGGCUCA